AGUUGACUUAUGAGCUGACCGUCAAGGUGAUAGAGUUGGAGAAUGAACUGCACCGUGAGAGGAAGCUGCUGGAGAAAGAGCAAAGGGAAGCAGAUGACCUUCGAGCGGAGUUAGGCCGUCCCAAGCUCCAUAAGAGGCUGCGUCUUGAACCUAUCUUGAAGGAUGCUGCUCCCGAGGAAUAGAAAAGAACCCAUAUGUAAUAGGAACGUU
rnacentral:lncRNA from 1 species